rnacentral:lncRNA from 10 species
UGGCAACUUUCACUGGGCAGUGAAAGGUCAGUUGAGAACAACAAGCAAUAACAACCAUACGAAGAAUCUAGCAAACUCAGACUUUACUUCUCCUUUUCGUGGUCCUGGAAACAGCUCAGAAUAAAGUGGAUCUGGACCUCUACAGAAGAGAGGGAGCUCCAGAUUCCAGAUAGGAUUUCACUGUGUUGUCCAAGCUGGAGUGCAGUGGCUCAAUCACAGGUCAUGGCAGCCUCGACCUCCUGGGGUUCAGGUGAUCCUCCCAUCUCAGCCUCCCGAGUAGCUGGGGCUACAGGUCUUUUGCUCCACGUGAUAUUGACUAUGAUCAUCUGGAGGGUCCGUGGUUCCAGUGACUUAGCAUCAAAGACGGCCUAACACACACGUCUGGUGCCUCUGCUGGGAUGGCUGAAGCAGCCGGAGGCUGGCCAGCUACUCAGGAGGCGGAGGCAAAGGAUCGCUUGAACCCAGAGGCAGAGGUUGCAGUGAGCCGAGAUUGCACCAUUGUACUACAGCCUGGGCAACAGAGCGAGACCCUGUCUCAAAG